UACAGAGACCUCAAGCAUUAUCCGGAUUUAUUGGGCGUAAAGGGUCCGCAGGUGGCUUUUCACGUCGUUGGUUAAAUGUUAGGGCUCAACUCUAACACCGCCAACGAUACGGAUUAGCUCGAGCAUGGGAGAGGUACGCGGAAUUACAGGUGUAGUAGUAAAAUGCGUCAAUAUCUGUAAGAACACCAAAUGCGAAGGCAGCGUACUGGAACAUUGCUGACACUCAGGGACGAAAGCGUGGGGAGCGAAAGGG
rnacentral:rRNA from 1 species